UGAAAGUCAGGUCGGAUUAAGCCAUAGUACGGGAAAAACUAUGCUACCUGUGAGCCCCGUCCAAGGACGUAAAAAGAAGUCAGGCCAUCACAAAUGCCACAGCUUGAGUAAACUGUGCAGCCUGUAGCUCCACCUGAGGAGGUGUAAAAAACCCGGGAGGCCACAAACCAUGGAAGCUGUACGCAUGGCGUAGUGGACUAGYGGUUAGAGGAGACCCCUCCCUUACAAAUCGCAGCAACAACGGGGGCCCGAGGUGAGAUGAAGCUGUAGUCUCACUGAAAGGACUAGUGGUUAGAGGAGACCCCCCCAAAACAAAAAACAGCAUAUUGACGCUGGGAA
rnacentral:lncRNA from 1 species